GUCAAAGGAGCUGGGUGAACAAGUUGAAACUUGUAGCUUAAAUAAGUAUGAACAGUUACUCGUGGAGAAAGACGUAGACACCGUUGACGGUUAAAAAUCAUCAUCAUAAUUUCGAAGGUGUAGCACUAAAAGCGGUGCCUGCUAAGUACUUUGAACAUGUCGAAUAAUUUAACAAACGUUAACGAAGAUGAUUUAUUCUACCCUUACGCGCAAGAUCCGCUUGCUGACUUCGAUGAAAGGUAUCCUGUUCAAGCGACUACCACAAAAUCGACGGCGCCUCAUGAUAACAAGAGUCAAAAGCUGAAAAGUGAUAAGAAGAA